AGAGUUUGAUCUGGCUCAGAAUCAACGCUGGCGGCGUGCCUAACACAUGCAAGUCGCACGAGAAAGGGACUUCGGUCCUGAGUAAAGUGGCGCACGGGUGAGUAACACGUGAAUUAUCUACCUUCGAGUGGGGAAUAACUGGGAGAAAUCUCAGCUAAUACCGCAUAAUACCUACGGGUCAAAGCAGCAAUGCGCUUGAAGAGGAGUUCGCGGCAGAUUAGUUAGUUGGCGGGGUAAUGGCCCACCAAGACGAUGAUCUGUAUCCGGCCUGAGAGGGCGCACGGACACACUGGAACUGAAACACGGUCCAGACUCCUACGGGAGGCAGCAGUGGGGAAUUUUGCGCAAUGGGGGAAACCCUGACGCAGCAACGCCGCGUGGAGGAUGAAGUAUCUUGGUACGUAAACUCCUUUCGAUGGGGAAGAUAAUGACGGUACCCAUAGAAGAAGCCCCGGCUAACUUCGUGCCAGCAGCCGCGGUAAUACGAGGGGGGCAAGCGUUGUUCGGAAUUAUUGGGCGUAAAGGGUGCGUAGGCGGUUUGAUAAGUCUGAUGUGAAAUCUCUGGGCUCAACCCAGAGUCUGCAUUAGAAACUGUCGGGCUUGAGUAUGGGAGAGGUGAGUGGAAUUUCCGGUGUAGCGGUGAAAUGCGUAGAUAUCGGAAGGAACACCUGUGGCGAAAGCGGCUCACUGGACCAUAACUGACGCUGAGGCACGAAAGCUAGGGGAGCAAACAGGAUUAGAUACCCUGGUAGUCCUAGCCCUAAACGAUGAUUGCUUGAUGUGGCAGGUACCCAAUCCUGCCGUGUCGAAGCUAACGCGAUAAGCAAUCCGCCUGGGGAGUACGGUCGCAAGGCUGAAACUCAAAGGAANUGAC
rnacentral:rRNA from 1 species